UACGUAGGUGGCAAGCGUUGUCCGGAUUUACUGGGCGUAAAGCGUGCGCAGGCGGUUCGUUGUGUCGGUGGUGAAAGCCCCGGGCUUAACCUGGGAAUGGCCAUGGAAACUGGCGAACUGGAGUGUGGCAGAGGGGGGUGGAAUUCCGCGUGUAGCAGUGAAAUGCGUAGAGAUGCGGAGGAACACCGAUGGCGAAGGCAGCCCCCUGGGCUAGCACUGACGCUCAGGCACGAAAGCGUGGGGAGCAAACAGG
rnacentral:rRNA from 1 species